rnacentral:rRNA from 1 species
GAUGAACGCUAGCUACAGGCUUAACACAUGCAAGUCGAGGGGUAACGAGAGGAAAGCUUGCUUUCCUUGUCGACGACCGGCGCACGGGUGAGUAACGCGUAUCCAACCUGCCCCCAACUAGGGAAUAACCUUGCGAAAGUAAGACUAAUACCCGAUAAUUUCCUCAGAUGACAUCUGACGAGGAAUAAAGAUUUAUCGGUUGUGGAUGGGGAUGCGUCUGAUUAGCUUGUUGGCGGGGUAACGGCCCACCAAGGCAACGAUCAGCAGGGGUUCUGAGAGGAAGGUCCCCCACAUUGGAACUGAGACACGGUCCAAACUCCUACGGGAGGCAGCAGUGAGGAAUAUUGGUCAAUGGGCGGAAGCCUGAACCAGCCAAGUAGCGUGCAGGAUGGCGGCCCUAUGGGUUGUAAACUGCUUUUAUACAGGAAUAAAGUUAGCCACGUGUGGUUAUUUGUAGGUACUGUAUGAGUAAGGACCGGCUAAUUCCGUGCCAGCAGCCGCCGUAA